rnacentral:tRNA from 1 species
GGAAAGGUGGCAGAGCGGUUGAUUGCACUGGUUUUGAAAACCAGCGUGGCUGACGAAGUCAUCGAGGGUUCGAAUCCCUCCCUUUCCG